rnacentral:tRNA from 1 species
GGAGGGUUGGCAGAAUGGCAAUGCGCUGGUUUCGAAAACCAGUUGGGCGUAAGCCCUCAGAGGUUCGAGUCCUCUACCCUCCG